AUCUUAGUUCUAGAAUGAUAAGGAAGAUUCUCAUCCUAUAUAUUAAACAAGGUUUAUUGUAAGCUUGUUAUUGCAAUUCAGAAGAGAAAAGAGAAUGGUUAGGAACGAGGUAACAACAUAUGCUAUUGCAAUAAUGUUGUUGUUUGGUGUGCUUAUUCAUUCUGCUGUUACUAUUCCUGAAGGACCUUUGAAUAAUCCAUCUAAUUAUAUUGAAUCUGAUCAGAAAAUGUGUAUCAAAAAAUGCCAGAAACGGUAUUUUAAGAAACCCAAAGUGUUGAGGGUAUGCUCUUGGAAAUGCGAUGGUUUAUUGGGGUUAGAAACUUAGAAUUUAAAUAAAUCCUCUGAUGUAUUGAAGAAGAUUUGAAUACUCUGAUUCACAUGGCUGAUGGGUGACGAUUCAGGGUGUUUGAAUACUUUUUUUUUCUUCGAUUCAGGUUGUUUAAUUUUCUAAUUUCAAUAGUUUGAUGUACUUUCCAUAAGACAACAGUAACCCCUUAGGGCAAGGAAAUGUAGUAAAAAAUAUUGGGAAAUAAAUAUUUGGAUAAAAGUAUUAUUUUGAUUUUAA